rnacentral:rRNA from 1 species
AUUGAACGCUGGCGGCAGGCCUAACACAUGCAAGUCGAACGAGUGGCGGACGGGUGAGUAAUGUCUGGGAAACUGCCUGCUGGAGGGGGAUAACUACUGGAAACGGUAGCUAAUACCGCAUACCAUCGGAUGUGCCCAGAUGGGAUUAGCUAUUAGGUGGGGUAAAGGCUCACCUAGGCGACGAUCCCUAGCUGGUCUGAGAGGAUGACCAGCCAAACGGGAACUGAGGCACGGUGCAGACUCCCACGGGAGGACGCAGGGGGGAAUAUUGCACAAUGGGCGAAAGCCUGAUGCAGCCAUGCCGCGUGGAUGAAGAAGGCCUGCGGGUUUUAAAGUACUUUCAGCGGGGAGGCGGUACCCGCAGAAGAAGCACCGGCUAACUCCGUGCCAGCAGCCGCGGUAAUUC